rnacentral:rRNA from 1 species
CAGUCGCCGCGGUAAUACGUAGGUGGCAAGCGUUGUCCGGAAUUAUUGGGCGUAAAGGGCUCGCAGGCGGUUUCUUAAGUCUGAUGUGAAAGCCCCCGGCUCAACCGGGGAGGGUCAUUGGAAACUGGGAAACUUGAGUGCAGAAGAGGAGAGUGGAAUUCCACGUGUAGCGGUGAAAUGCGUAGAGAUGUGGAGGAACACCAGUGGCGAAAGCGGCUCUCUGGUCUGUAACUGACGCUGAGGCUCGAAAGCGUGGGGAGCGAACAGGAUUAGAUACCCCGGUAGUCCCUGUCUCUUAUAU